rfam:Medicago truncatula strain A17 chromosome 4, whole genome shotgun sequence.
AUAUAAGCAAAUUUUACUUUUUAGAUUCAUUCAAUUAAUGAUAUAUGUGGUUCAAAAUAUGGACCACAUACAUCAUUAAUUGAAUGAACCUAAAAAGUAAAAUUUGCUUAUAU